rnacentral:rRNA from 2 species
AAAUUGAAGAGUUUGAUCAUGGCUCAGAUUGAACGCUGGCGGCAGGCCUAACACAUGCAAGUCGAACGGUAACAGGAAGCAGCUUGGCUGCUUUGCUGACGAGUGGCGGACGGGUGAGUAAUGUCUGGGAAACUGCCUGAUGGAGGGGGAUAACUACUGGAAACGGUGGCUAAUACCGCAUAACGUCGCAAGACCAAAGAGGGGGACCUUCGGGCCUCUUGCCAUCAGAUGUGCCCAGAUGGGAUUAGCUUGUUGGUGAGGUAACGGCUCACCAAGGCGACGAUCCCUAGCUGGUCUGAGAGGAUGACCAGCCACACUGGAACUGAGACACGGUCCAGACUCCUACGGGAGGCAGCAGUGGGGAAUAUUGCACAAUGGGCGCAAGCCUGAUGCAGCCAUGCCGCGUGUAUGAAGAAGGCCUUCGGGUUGUAAAGUACUUUCAGCGGGGAGGAAGGUGUUGUGGUUAAUAACCGCAGCAAUUGACGUUACCCGCAGAAGAAGCACCGGCUAACUCCGUGCCAGCAGCCGCGGUAAUACGGAGGGUGCAAGCGUUAAUCGGAAUUACUGGGCGUAAAGCGCACGCAGGCGGUCUGUCAAGUCGGAUGUGAAAUCCCCGGGCUCAACCUGGGAACUGCAUUCGAAACUGGCAGGCUUGAGUCUUGUAGAGGGGGGUAGAAUUCCAGGUGUAGCGGUGAAAUGCGUAGAGAUCUGGAGGAAUACCGGUGGCGAAGGCGGCCCCCUGGACAAAGACUGACGCUCAGGUGCGAAAGCGUGGGGAGCAAACAGGAUUAGAUACCCUGGUAGUCCACGCCGUAAACGAUGUCUACUUGGAGGUUGUGCCCUUGAGGCGUGGCUUCCGGAGCUAACGCGUUAAGUAGACCGCCUGGGGAGUACGGCCGCAAGGUUAAAACUCAAAUGAAUUGACGGGGGCCCGCACAAGCGGUGGAGCAUGUGGUUUAAUUCGAUGCAACGCGAAGAACCUUACCUGGUCUUGACAUCCACAGAACUUUCCAGAGAUGGAUUGGUGCCUUCGGGAACUGUGAGACAGGUGCUGCAUGGCUGUCGUCAGCUCGUGUUGUGAAAUGUUGGGUUAAGUCCCGCAACGAGCGCAACCCUUAUCCUUUGUUGCCAGCGGUCCGGCCGGGAACUCAAAGGAGACUGCCAGUGAUAAACUGGAGGAAGGUGGGGAUGACGUCAAGUCAUCAUGGCCCUUACGACCAGGGCUACACACGUGCUACAAUGGCGCAUACAAAGAGAAGCGACCUCGCGAGAGCAAGCGGACCUCAUAAAGUGCGUCGUAGUCCGGAUUGGAGUCUGCAACUCGACUCCAUGAAGUCGGAAUCGCUAGUAAUCGUGGAUCAGAAUGCCACGGUGAAUACGUUCCCGGGCCUUGUACACACCGCCCGUCACACCAUGGGAGUGGGUUGCAAAAGAAGUAGGUAGCUUAACCUUCGGGGGGGCGCUUACCACUUUGUGAUUCAUGACUGGGGUGAAGUCGUAACAAGGUAACCGUAGGGGAACCUGCGGUUGGAUCACCUCCUUACCUUAAAGAAGC